rnacentral:tRNA from 1 species
GUUCCCGUAGCCCAACCGGAUAGAGCAGCCGCCUUCUAAGCGGUCGGUCGCGCGUUCAAUUCGCGCCCGGGGCACCG